rnacentral:lncRNA from 1 species
AGGAGAAGUUCACACUUACAACUCAAUAAACUCAGGUCCUAAGUUUGCAUCAAUGAGACACAAGAAAGGCUCACAAUUAACACUCUAAAAUCCUAAAACACACGCUUUGUAAGAACACGGUUUUAGAUGCUUGAAACCAUAUGCUUGCCUUCGUAUUUAUUGCAGUAGAAUGACUUGGGCUUCAAGACAAAAUUAGGGCUUCUAGAAUUGCGGCAGCAGUGAUAUAUUUUUGAAAACAAUAGUUAUAUUUUUGAAAC